CGUGGCCUUGGGGUCUCGUUAGAUCUGGUGCAACGGUCCGUGAGUAGCGGACUGCAACUAAACCGUCUACUGUAUAAUCACGAAGAACGUUAUCGCAGUGCACAAAAGACAAGCUACUUACAAAUUCACCUCUGCUACAUCUGUAUGCUUUCUAUGUCCUGUAUUGCUACAAAGGAAAUCCUGAAUAUGAUUGCUAGGUGGGCACUGAGGACUGCAGUUGAGGAACACUGCGCUAGAGUGAUCCCACAGUUUUCAAAAUGUACCUGUUGCUACAAGAGCUGAGAAGAUGGUGAGAAUUCCAAGGGUGGACGUCAUGGUGGUCUCCUCUGGGACGGUCGCAGCUGGUGAUGUGCAGACUUGGAUAGGGGACAACAAUGUAUAUAGUUUUACAAUGGGCGGGGAAGAUCGUCAUUUCAAGGAAAGAGCAGUCAGAUCAGGAAGACGAAACCAGAUCAAAGUUGGUCAGAACAAUAUCUUGCAGUAAGUAUUCAGUUUAAUGGCAAAGUCUGAUUUCAAACAAGCAGCUAAUCGAUUGUUAGUACUUUUGAGUGUCCUGAGGUCUAAAGUCUGCAGAGUCUUAAAGAGCUUUGACCGCAAAUGUCACUGGUGUCAUAUUAACCUCUUAAUGCAUAAUCAAUUACAUACAUGUACAGUAUUUGCAUUAAAGGAAUUGCCCCACUUCA